rnacentral:rRNA from 1 species
GAUGAACGCUGGCGGCGUGCCUAAUACAUGCAAGUCGAGCGAACAGACGAGGAGCUUGCUCCUCUGACGUUAGCGGCGGACGGGUGAGUAACACGUGGAUAACCUACCUAUAAGACUGGGAUAACUUCGGGAAACCGGAGCUAAUACCGGAGAAUAUAUUGAACCGCAUGGUUCAAUAGUGAAAGACGGUUUUGCUGUCACUUGUAGAUGGAUCCGCGCCGCAUUAGCUAGUUGGUAAGGUAACGGCUUACCAAGGCGACGAUGCGUAGCCGACCUGAGAGGGUGAUCGGCCACACUGGAACUGAGACACGGUCCAGACUCCUACGGGAGGCAGCAGUAGGGAAUCUUCCGCAAUGGGCGAAAGCCUGACGGAGCAACGCCGCGUGAGUGAUGAAGGUCUUCUGAUCGUAAAGCUCUGUUAUUAGGGAAGAACAAAUGUGUAAGUAACUAUGCACGUCUUGACGGUACCUAAUCAGAAAGCCCCGGCUAACUUCGUG